rnacentral:lncRNA from 1 species
ACCUGUUUAACUGCUUAUCAUGAACCACCUAAAUCACUGUCACCAUUUGAAAUCUGAGAUGACAACACAACACAUGUGUUUCUUCUAUCUCAUUAUGCUUUUUAGGCCAUUACUCAAGAUGUCGAACUUAUUUUCCCUCUUAUUGUUACUUUCUUCAAGAUGGGUAGAGGGAUUUACAUCCAAUUUUCUGGAGGAAUUGCUUUUUCAUUUUGGAGAAGAAAGACCCAUACCUCUUUGGAGCAUGAAAAUCAGGAUGAGAAGAUGAAGUCGUUAGAAGAACGUUGGAGGAAAAUUCACAAAAGAGGCCCAUUGAUCCACAUAUGCUUAACUCAGUGGUUGAAGUCUUCACUGCUUACACAUAAUAUUUGCAAAUGCAGUUCUUGGCAGACUCGUCCAAAAGUUACAGCUGUAGCCUCUGAUAAAAAUUUCUUUGUUUUAUUUAUUUUUAGUUUUCAAAGUUAGAAUUUAUAACGAUCGGCAAAAUGUGUUUUGCGUGUUGUGCUUAAAUAUAUUUAUGUGGGUUAGGAUUUGCAAUCUGAGACCAAAAAAUAAGAAAUAAGUUUCUC